rnacentral:ribozyme from 1 species
UUUUAUUUUUAUUUUUAUUUUUAUUUCUUCUUCCUCCGUCCUCAAAUUAAAAACAAACUCUUCAUCAAAGAGAAGAAACACAGCAAAGAAAAGAAACACAGGAAGUCAAUAAACUAA